rnacentral:rRNA from 1 species
CCUACGGGUGGCAGCAGUGAGGAAUAUUGGUCAAUGGGCGCGAGGCUGAACCAGCCAAGUCGCGUGAGGGAAGACGGUCCUAUGGAUUGUAAACUUCUUUUGUCGGGGAACAAAAGUCGCCACGCGUGGCUUUCCGAGAGUACCCGAAGAAAAAGCAUCGGCUAACUCCGUGCCAGCAGCCGCGGUAAUACGGAGGAUGCGAGCGUUAUCCGGAUUUAUUGGGUUUAAAGGGAGCGUAGGUGGAUUGUUAAGUCAGUUGUGAAAGUUUGCGGCUCAACCGUAAAAUUGCAGUUGAAACUGGCAGUCGUGAGUACAGUAGAGGUAGGCGGAAUUCGUGGUGUAGCGGUGAAAUGCUUAGAUAUCACGAAGAACUCCGAUUGCGAAGGCAGCUCACUGGCCUGCAACUGACACUGAGGCUCGAAAGUGUGGGUAUCAAACAGGAUUAGAUACCCUGGUAGUC